GACGAACCGUGCAAACGUUAUUCGGAAUCACUGGGCUUAAAGGGCGCGUAGGCGGGCGCACAAGUCAGGGGUGAAAGCCCACGGCUCAACCGUGGAAGUGCCUUUGAUACUGUGUGUCUGGAGGGAGGUAGGGGCGUGCGGAACUUCCGGUGGAGCGGUGAAAUGCGUAGAUAUCGGAAGGAACACCGGUGGCGAAAGCGGCGCGCUGGACCUCUUCUGACGCUGAGGCGCGAAAGCCAGGGGAGCAAACGGG
rnacentral:rRNA from 1 species